CCAUCGGUGGUUCAGUGGUAGAAUGCUCGCCUGCCACACGUGGGUUCGAUUCCCGGCCGAUGCA